rnacentral:ribozyme from 13 species
GAGAAAAAGAAAGAGAAGAAGAAGAAGGAGAAGAAAGACAAGAAAAAGAAAGACAAAAAGGUAUGAUUUGUGGCACGUGGGUUUAACUUUCGCACUCCGUUUGGUCCUGGGUUUGAAUAUUUACACAGUUUUGACUUCCUUGGACCUUCAACUCUGCUGCACAUUUUAGAAAAAGAAGUCCAAGGACAAGGACAAAAAGAAGAAAAAAGACAAGGACAAGA